rnacentral:lncRNA from 1 species
CCGGAACAUCUCUCUAGCCUUCUCUAUCCUUGUAAAAAUUUCUUUGUAAUUUGAUAGUAUUUUGAAUUCAGAAAUAAAAAUCAAAAGGGUCACUUGGCCACCAACAGCCAGUCUCUGGUACUGUUCUACUCUCUCUCUUUAUUUACAAUAUUUGUAGCACUGUUAGCCUAAAUGAUAUGCUAAACAGGUAAGUGUUAAGCUUAGUAUUCAAAGGUUAUUUACACAGCAUGCUUUGUUGCUCUAAAUGAAUUGUAUCACCCUGAUGGAGUGUUAGGUUAAGAACUAUACAGGCCAGGCAGUUAUUAACCUUGACAGUAACUCUUGGUUAGGAUAUCCUAACCGGUGGUGCUCGUAAACUCGUUUAGGCAGAAGGCCGUAUUGAAGAGUUGUGAGGAGCAUCAUGGUUUAAGAUUUACCUAAAGGUUGGUAAUCUGUUUUGAAUAUAGUUCUCGUAAUUCUUUCUAAACCUCAUUCAGAAGCGAUCUUGUCCCCGUUUUGAAGUAUUAAAAUAGUAGGAAAAAUUAUUUCAAUUAAUCUUAACUAUUCUGACAAACAUGUCAGCUAUUGGCAUUAAAUAUAAUGCGCUCAAUAUAAUUGUCAUAUUUCCUUUUUACGAGACAACACAUAAUUUUAAUUGAGUAAAUUCAAAAGAAGUAGACUCCACAUAAAAGAAAUAUGUAGCAACAAUUUGAUAAUUUGAACAUUAGAUAUAUACCUUUGCAAGUGGAUUCAAUCUUGAGGCUAGAGACUUCGUGAUGAUAAUAUAUUAAGAAAUGCAUCUUAAAAUAGUAAUAUAAAACAAGAAAAUAAAUAUAAUAAGACAAGAAGAGGUAAUUUUCUUAUUUCAUUAAGUGUUCAAGUGUCUUUCAUCUUAUAUUUCAUGUCGAUAUUUAUACUAUUACGUAUAAAGGUUACAAAAUAAUUAUCUUAAAUAUGAUAUUAACAAUUAAGAUCGUCGAAAAAAAACAUGCGAAAAAAUUAUAAAAGUAUGAAAAUUACAAUUAUAGUGAUGAUAAGUAAUGAAGUAACAGUACUGUUAAUUUUGUCCGAUAUUUGCCUUUUCCUCUAAAGCUUGAUGGUGAUAUUUGCCACGAUGGAGCCAUGAAGACAAACAAAAAAAAAUCCAAACUUACCCUUAAUUAUCAAAUUGAGUUUUUUUAUACCCUCGGUAUAGUUUAAAUUAAGCCCCUGAGUAAUUAAACGGUCUAAAUAUACUCCGAAGUGACUUGACCAAUUCUUCCACGUAUUAGUUUUACAUAUUUUCAUAGGGGAUUUAGAAUUUUUAUAAUAUGGGUAUACUAUUAUAAAAAUGAUAAGAAAAAAUAUAUUAAGAGCUUAUUUGGCUAAGCUUAUAAGCUGAUCAAACUAGUUUAUACGUAUUUUUUAGGUUAUAUACGUGUUUGGUAAAAUUAAAAGUGCUUAUAAGUUACGUAUUUAUAAGCCAAAAAUAAACCAAAAGUCAUAAGUUGGUCUCCCCCAACUUAUCAAAUUUCAGCUUAUAAGCACUUUAAGUUUGACCAAAAUAUUUACUACUAUAUUCCUAAAAUACUUCUUUUUAAAACAAAAUUCUUCGUACAUUUAGUUCUUUAGCUGCUUAUUAUUAAUUUUAGCACUUUUAUCCAAACACGUAAGUGCUUAUUUUUUAAAUUAGUUUCAGCACUUAAUAAUGCUUUUAAGCACAUAAUGCUUAUUAACUACUCUAAAUCAGUUAAAUCAAACGGGCUCUAAGUAGAAUUUGAUCCUACUCUUCUAGGAAACAAUUUAAUAUUAACUAAGUAUGCCAUUUAAUCUUUUUAAAGUAUGAAUAUUAACAAAUAAUACUAAACCAAUUAUAAAAAAUAUAUUUACAAAAUACUUAAUUUCGCGAAGAGACCAACGGUUCACUUACGCCCAUGGCCCCAUUUAAUUUCUCGAAGAAACCAAAGAAUCUGCCCCUGCAUAUUCUCUCAGCAAUAAUUUGAAGCACGCCCUAUGGCUAAAAAAUAUCCAAAUACUCCUAUGUUGCUUGAUCGAAAUUUGUACAAAUAGUCCUACAGCUUAAAUCUAGGCAAAAUAUCUUACACUUUUCUUAAAUUUGAUAUGGAUUAUAAAUUACAGCUUUAAAUUAUUUGGGUUUAAUUAUUUCAUUAACUUGACCUUUCGAGAGUCAUUAUCUUCCGGAAGCUGAUGUGACAAAAAGUAUAGGUGCACUCACCUGUCACGUAAAUUUUUCUUGUAUAUAUGAUAUUUUUUUGAAAAAUAUUUUUACCUUUUAAGUAUGUUACAUUUUUAGAUAAUUUUUUUCGAAUAAUAUUUAUAAUAAAACUUGAAUAGAACUACAUUAUUUAGGCUAAUUUUUUUAUUUGGCUAAAAAUAAAUAAGUUUUAGUUAAUUUUUUUGAAUUUGAACUGAAACUAAAGAUUAUAAAAUUGAAAUAAAUAGUCAACGCUCUAAAAAGUUAUAAAAAAUACAUAGUUUGAAAUUAAUUAUUUUGGCUAUAACUGUUUAUAUAGCUCUAAAUUAUAGUGCUCUAAUUUUAUUUUUUUUACAGAUUUUACCUCAAAAAGUAAACAUACAUGGUUUAAAUAAAUAAUAAUUGCAUCAUAAGAAGAAAUAAAAGAAUGUAUAAUGCAGAUGAUUCGUUUUAUUUCUUGCAAUUGUACACUCCUUAGAGCAAUAUCCAAGUUUUAUUAUAAAUUAUAUUCGAAAAAAUUAUCUAAAAAAGCAACAUACUUAAAAAGGUAAAAGUAUAUUUUGUUUUUCAAAAAGAUGCUACAUAUACAGAAAAAUUCACGUGGCAAGCGAGUGCACCCACAAUUUUUGUCACAUCAGGGGCUAUCGGCUCUCAAAAAGCUAAGUUGAGGGAGUAAUUAAAAUUAUAAAUAAUUUAAACUUGUAAUUAAUAAUCUGUAUUAAGUUUAGGAGGGUUUUUAAAGAUAUUUUACCUAAUUAGUCUCAAGACAUAUUUAAGACAAAAAUAAUGAUGUGGCUCAAUAUGAGCCGAAAAAUAAACGUAUUACAUAUAUACAAGACAAAACACAUAAAUAUUAGAGGUAUUUUUGAAGUUUUUGCUUUGUUGUUAACGGUCGAAAACUUUCAAUAUUUCAAUUUCAUUUUGAUAGCAUAUAUUGGUUUUGCUUUAAAAUCCUCAAAGGGAAAAGUGAUUUUAUUUUCAUGCUUUAAUACCUUUGCGAGGGAUUGCCAAGAGCUACAUAAUAUACAUAAAGUACUCUAAGGGUAGGUUUUGUGCUAUAAUAAAUAAGAUUGCAAGGAGUAGGCUUGAAAUAUUUUAAGUAGUAACAUUUUGUCAUUUAAAUCAAGUUAGGUUAAAAAUAUCAAGAGGGAAGUGUAGUAUCUCAAACUGCAAAAAAAGCUUCUUUUUUUUCAGAAGUAAACCUCAACAAAUUCUUUGAAAAACAUCUAAAAAUUUAUUCAUAUUACCGCCUAGCCAAAACAAGAUUAAAAAAAAAGGGGUACUAGAAAAGUUCCUUUUUUUGGUUGUUGUUUAGAAUCUUUCUCAAAAUUUUUAGGAUAAACUAACACUAUAUAGCUGAUAUAAAAAUAAUAAGUAAAAAUAUAUAAAAUUUAUAUAUAUAUAUAUAUAUAUAUAUAUAUAUAUAUAUAUUAUGUUAUAUAUAAAAAUUAUAUAAUUUUUAUAUACUUUUUCAGCUACUAGAUAUAAAUAAUUUUUGGUGCGAGCUAAAAGUCAUAAUUAAGAAAUGUAGCUCAAAGUAACAAUAUAAAACAAGAAGAUAAGUAGAAGAAGAGAUAACUUUCUUAUUUCAUCAAGUGUUCAAGUAUAUUUCAUCUCACAUUUUAUGCCUCUAUUUAUAGUGUUAGAUAUGAAGGUUAUAAAAUAAUUAUCUUAAACAUGACAUUAACAAUUGAGAUCAUGGGGGAAGAUCACGUGGAGAGUUUACGGGGGUGUGAGAAUUAGAAUCAUGGUAAAAAUAGUGGGAGCAGUGAACAUUCACAUUAGCUAUAGAUUUUACAACACUCCCCCUUAUAUGUCCAAAAAUAAAUAAUAUGCCUCGUUAAAACAAUACUAAGAAAAACCUUGUGGGAAAAAAUCUUAGUGAAGGAUAAAGAGUACAUAUAUCUGUAAUACGUUUUGGUUGGCGCCUCGUUAAAAAUCUUACCAGGAAAACCUAGUGGGACAAAACCUAGGCUAAGGGAAAAAGAGUACAGCGUGUAUGUUACUCCCACUCAUGAAAAUAUCACUUUAUUUUCCAAAAGCGGCGCAUUUUAAUCUUUUGUCUCAACUUCUCAAAUGUCGAGGUUGCUAAUGCCUUAGUAAACAGAUCUGCCAAAUUUUCACAUGAACGAAUCUGUUGAACAUUAAUUUCAUCAUUUUGUUGAAGAUCAUGCGUGAAAAAGAACUUUGGUGAAAUGCGCUUUGUUCUGUCUCCUUUGAUGUAUCCUCUUUUUAGUUAAGCAAUGCAUGCAACAUUGUCUUCAUAUAGUGUAGUUAGGUUAUCUAUUUCAUAGGAAAAGCCUGAAUAUGCUGAGUCAUUGAUCUCAACCACACAUAUUCCUGACUAGCCUCAUGAAUGGCUAUUAUCUCGGCAUGAUAUGAAGAUAUGGCAGCUAUUGUUUGUUUCAUUGAACGCCAUGAUAUAGUUAUACCUCCAUAUGUAAACAAAUAGCAUGUUUGAGAUUGGGCUUUAUGUGGAUCAGACAAAUAACCUGCAUCGACAUAGCCAAUCAUUUCUGAUUUAAAUUAAUUAGAAUAAAAUAAUCCCAUAUUCAUAGUUCUCCGAGAUAUCUAAAUAUAUGCUUAACACCAUUCAAAUAUCUUCUUGCUAGGAAGGAGUUGAAUCUUGCUAAUAAGCUUACUGCAAAAGCAAUAUCUGGUAGAGUAUUGUUGGCAAGAUACAUCAUGCGCCAAUUGCACUAAGAUAUGGAGUUUCAUCACCAACGAUCUCUUCAUCCUUUUUUUGGAGGCCGAAAUGGAUCUUUAUUUAUAUUAAGUAAUAUCAAAAUCAUUGGGGUACUCAAUGGAUGUGCAUUAUCCAUAUAAAAUCGCUUUAAAAUUUUUUCAGUGUAUGUUGAUUGAUAGACAAAAAUUCUAUUUGGUACAUGCUCAAUUUGGAGGCCAAGACAAAAUUUUGUCUUACCAAGAUCUUUCAUUUCAAAUUCUUUUUUCAAACACUCUACAGCCGUUAUAAGCUCUUUAGAAGUGUCAAUGAUAUUCAAAUCGUCAAUAUACAUAGCUAUGAUGACAAAUUCAGAACUAGACCUCUUAAUAAAGAAACAUGGGCAAAUAGGGUCAUUUUUACCCUUCGUUUAGCAAAUACUCGCUAAGGCAUUGUACCGC